GACUUUUUAAUUUGGUGGGUGCAAAUAGAUCGAUCUUGUUCUUGCGUGCCUUGUCUCAAUUAUUUUGUUUCUGCGUGUGUGUGUGUUUAUCUUUGUGUGUGUAAUGGAAAGGCAUCAUCAUCAGCAUCAAGUCAGUGUUAACGUUGAUACUGAUAGGUUUCCUCAAUGGAGCAUUCAAGAAACGAAGCAUUUCUUGAUGAUUCGAGCAGAACUAGAUCGAACUUUCAUGGAGACCAAAAGAAACAAGCUUCUUUGGCAAGUGAUCUCUAACAAAAUGAAAGAAAAGGGCUUUCAUCGCAGUGCAGAACAGUGCAAGUGCAAGUGGAAAAACCUCGU
rnacentral:misc_RNA from 1 species